rnacentral:tRNA from 1 species
GCCGAGGUGGCAGAGUGGUUAUUGCGCUAGUCUUGAAAACUAGUACUCGCAAGGGUUCAGGAGUUCGAAUCUCCUCCUCGGCGC